ensembl:lncRNA
UACGUGUGUGUGCAUGUGUGUGUGUGCAUUUUUAGGUGUGUGUACGUGUGUAUGUGUGUGUGUGAGAGUGAUUUCCUGGAGGUGGCAGGCUGGAUCCUACCCCUGGUGCCCCAACAGGUUCUCCUGAAGGCGGCCAGACCACCGGGGCCAGACGGACGUUACACGUCACAUGCACCCAGGACGGCCGAUUGGAACCGGGUUACCGCGGUAACCAGGUGAGGUAACCCGUUUCCACUGGAAGGAAAACCCUGUCUAAGGUAAUCCGAACUGGGUUCGAGUCCCGGCGGCCAAAGGGUCGUGGGUUCCAUCCCUCCUCUACUGAAUGAUUAGACCCUCGAGGGCAUACGCAUCACAGACACACGCCAACCCCGGUGGUUAACGUGGCGGUGAGGGAUUCCACCGGCGCCUUUACCCAAAGCCACCUCGGAGGGAGGCUGAGAACAAUCAGGCAGAGGAGAUUGUACUUGUGGUUGAAGAAAGGAAGUGUGCUGCAUGAGAAACGGGAACACCGGGGACUCUGCCAACCCAGCCCCGCUGCCCUGGGGCCCAUGAGCAAUCGCUGUGAGACGGGGAGACGGCAUGAGGAGUCGCUGUGUCACAGCCACCAGCAUCUGAGGCGGGUCCUGUCAUCUGAGGGUCCAGUGGCGGCCGAGCCUUCCGGUGGACAUUGAUUUCCUGUUGUCUCUGAUUCAUCACUUCCUUUACACACAAGAUGUCCCAGCCUGCUCGGCUGUCCCUGGUCUAAAUGCAUGACAUCACACCAGAGAGCAGCUGAAGUCGAUAUCCACCGCUAUGGAAGGGCCUCGUUUGGUUACGUUGUGGCAGAUGGAGCGUCUCGGGGUCAGAUGUCGGAGCAGAGGAUUAGCGGAUUACCUCCCGUACCCUCGUCCCCCUGACCUUCACACAGUUUGAGGGGUACCUCAUCGCCUCCAUGAGGAGUGAGGGUAGGAUUACCGUUAGAUAACAGACCUUCUUCAGGAGGAGAGCACAAACACCUCAGCCACCUGUAGGCUCCCCCCUCCUGAAUGACAUCAUCUCACGUCAGUGUCUUUGUCUGCUGAGUGGAUAAAUAGAAGCAGCAGAGUGCAUCACAGAGCCGUUACAGCAGC